rnacentral:tRNA from 1 species
UUAAUUAAAACCAAACUAGAGGUGUAUCAUUGUUAAUGAUAAUAUUGACUAAAAGUCUAAUUAAA